GAAUUCAACCGGACAGAGUCCGACUAUAACAUGGACCAUUUAAUGAGGAGUUUUUGACCACUUGACCUAUAAACACAAUAUAUAAUAAAUUGGAGAGCUCAACUCACCCUCCACAUAAUCAAAAUGUCAUAACUCAAAUAAGAGCUCAGCUCCCUCAUCCAAUCCCAUCAUGCAUACAAUUAAUAAUUUUACAAGUCUAAUAUAACUUUUAUAAUACAGGCCCAAAAUAAAAAUAAGUGCUUCUAACACAUGCGGAAUCUAAAAAAUUAACUCAAUUGCACAAAAUACAUUAAAUACUAUCAAUGGACAGACUUAACCGAAAUCACUAUAGCGGCUGGGCGGAGGAGAAAGGCUGUCCUGGCUCACCUUUAUUACACAAUGAGGAGCAUAUAAAUGCCUGGAAGCUGGAUUCGAAGCAAAUGCAGCAAAUCUUUGCCGAAAGAGAGAAAGAACUCCAAUUGGCUCUUGAAGAUGAAAAGCAAUUUUCUAGAGCCCAAAAAGAAGCAUCGUACGAAGAAUGGUCCUGCAAGGAGGCCAUACUUCGUUCUACUGUAGAGUCUAUUUGGUUGUUAAGUUGUAGCAGCACUG
rnacentral:misc_RNA from 1 species